rnacentral:miRNA from 1 species
CUGCUGUGCUGGGAUACGACUAU